UGAAAUCACUACAAAGCAACCUUGACCACUUAUCUAUUAUUUGAAAUCUUUCCCUCUAAGAUGACGUUGUUUUUGGGAAUACAAAUGCAAACCAUAGGACAAGGAUGUUGUAAUCACAAAUCUUUGCUUUGUACGAUCAUCGGGUAUGGUGAUCAUUUCAAAAUCUUUGCUUUGUACCAUCGUCGGGUAAUCACAGGACAAGAUGAUACACAAGAAAUGUGGCAAGAUUUGAUCAAAAAGCCGUCCAACCCUGCCCCUGAGCUGCUGGGUUGGGUGGCAAGGUUAGCAUCCCCUCGUCGCCACUUACCCAAAGGCAAGACAUUGCUUUCUUUGACACUGAGACAAGAACUGCUGAGGUAAUUGGAAGAAUGUCUGCCGAAACCAUUCUCAUUCAAGAUUCCAUUGGAGAAAAGUGACAUCUUGGAACAAGAUAUUCACAUGCUUGAGUUAAUCAAGGAUGUCGAUGGUACUUGUUCUCAGAUUCUUCGCCUACAGGAAGGAGAUAAGGAAUCGAAGGUAAUCAAGCAACAAUGUUAAUUUAGAUAGUCACAGAUCUUCCACCCAGAAAUAAGUUUCAAUGAAAGGUUCAUCGGGUAGACACUCCCAUAAGGAAUCGAAGGUAAUCAAGCAACAAUGUUAAUUUAGAUAGUCACAGAUCUUCCACCCAGAAAUAAGUUUCAAUGAAAGGUUCAUCGGGUAGACACUCCCAGUCACAUAGCUUUGCUCUUUCUCCUUCUCGUCGAAGUGGGGGUACAUGAGUCUAUAGAGAGAAGAUGUUUGACCUAAGAAGCCAAUAAAGAAUUCUUUGAGACGUUUGACCUACUUAACAAGCCUGAAGUUCCUGUCCUAGUUCUCGGAUACAUUGCUGCGAUUAUACUUAUACAAGGUCUUGUGGUCCCUAUGCUUGGCUUCUUGUUUUACUCAUCAAUAUCUAUGUUCUUUGAACCUCCAGAAAAAACAGUGGAAAGAUUCUAGGUUCUGGACAUUCUACACGACGGUUUGAGUUCAGUUACCCUUGUGGCCUUGAUUGUGCAAAAUUACUUCGUUAGCAUUGCUGCGGGAAAAUGAGUAGAAAGAAUUCAUUCACUAACAUUUGAAAAGGUUGUGCAUCAAGAAAUCAGUUGGUUUGAUGAUCCUGCAAAUUCAAGAUAUUUUUAGCAAGAUAUUUUAAUUAUCAUGUUUUGCAGUUUCUUAUACCGAUCAACUAAGGAAACCAUUCACUUUCCUGUGGUGGAGUUAGUGCAAGGUUGUUUACUGAUUCUUCAACAGUGAAAAGUCUAGCUGGUGACACAUUGGCUCUCAUUGUGCAAAACUUAUCAACAGUAAUGGUUGGUCUAGUUGUAUCAGUCAAUGCUAAUUGGAUUUUUGUUUUCAAAAUUCAGGCUUUCACCCUUGGUCCUAUUGCAAGGAUUUCUUCAGAUGAAGUUUCUUAAAGGAUUCAGUGCAGAUCCAAGGUAAAGCGUGAAGGGGCAAGUCAGGUGGCAAAUGAUGCUGUUGGUAGCAUCAGAACCAUAGCAACAUUUGUGCUUAAUCAAAGAUAAUGGACGUGUACAGGAAGAAAUGUCUAGAGCCGGAAAAACAAGGGGUUCACUUGGGGCUUGUGAAUGGUGCAGGAUUUGCUUUCUCUACUCUGGCUCUGUAAUGCAGAAAUGCUACCUUUUUCUAUAUUGGAUCGGUUCUCGUGCAACAUGGGAAAGUAACUUUUCCAGAGGUUUUCAAGGGAUCGGCAUUUCCCUGACUAGUGCCUUCGCCCCUGACACCAAUAAAGCCAAAGAUUCCGCAGCUUCAAUAUUUAACAUUCUUGAUACUACACCUACCAUUGACUCCAGCAGCAAUGAGGGUAGAAACACUAGAAGCCAUUGUUGGUGAUAACGAACUUCAAAACAUCAGUUUCAAUUACCCAACUAGAUCUCAUUCAAAUUUUCAAAUAUUCUAGUAAUUCAUCUUUUGGGCUGUACAAAUAAACUUUCUUUGAGAAAUGUGAUGUAGUUACAUUGUUUAGUUGGAGAAAGUGGCAGUGGAAAAUCAGAAGUGAUCAGCCUCUUAGAUGGAGUGGAUAUAGAACUGUUUAGACCAUAAGCUGGUUGAGGUAGAAAAAAAUGGAUUUGGUUGGUCAAGAACCUAUUGUUUUCACUGAAAGCAUUCGUGCCAACGUAGCUUAUGGCAAAGAGGGAAUUGCUUUGCCUUGCUGCAGAGAGAAUGUGCAGGCAGCUAAAGCAUCCAAUGCACACCUAUGUACUCUUCUUGAAAACAAUUGAUACUAUCUUCAAUCCAAAAUCUUAAGAAUAAUAGAUUUAUGAAUGUUUCUUUUACUCGACUUUUUCAUCUCUAUUCGA